rnacentral:rRNA from 1 species
ACGUACACUCCUACGGGAGGCAGCAGUGAGGAAUAUUGGACAAUGGGUGGAAGCCUGAUCCAGCCAUCCCGCGUGCAGGAAGACGGCCCUAUGGGUUGUAAACUGCUUUUAUCUGGGGAUAAACCUACUUACGUGUAAGUAGCUGAAGGUACCAGAAGAAUAAGCACCGGCUAACUCCGUGCCAGCAGCCGCGGUAAUACGGAGGGUGCAAGCGUUAUCCGGAUUUAUUGGGUUUAAAGGGUCCGUAGGCGGACUGAUAAGUCAGUGGUGAAAUCCGACAGCUUAACUGUCGAACUGCCAUUGAUACUGUUAGUCUUGAGUAAGGUUGAAGUGGCUGGAAUAAGUAGUGUAGCGGUGAAAUGCAUAGAUAUUACUUAGAACACCAAUUGCGAAGGCAGGUCACUAAGUCUUAACUGACGCUGAUGGACGAAAGCGUGGGGAGCGAACAGGAUUAGAAACCCGAGUAGUCCCGU